rnacentral:rRNA from 1 species
UGUGUGUUAGUGGAAGCGUCUGGAAAGGCGCGCGAUACAGGGUGACAGCCCCGUACACAAAAAUGCACAUGCUGUGAGCUCGAUGAGUAGGGCGGGACACGUGGUAUCCUGUCUGAAUAUGGGGGGACCAUCCUCCAAGGCUAAAUACUCCUGACUGACCGAUAGUGAACCAGUACCGUGAGGGAAAGGCGAAAAGAACCCCGGCGAGGGGAGUGAAAAAGAACCUGAAACCGUGUACGUACAAGCAGUGGGAGCACGCUUAGGCGUGUGACUGCGUACCUUUUGUAUAAUGGGUCAGCGACUUAUAUUCUGUAGCAAGGUUAACCGAAUAGGGGAGCCGAAGGGAAACCGAGUCUUAACUGGGCGUUAAGUUGCAGGGUAUAGACCCGAAACCCGGUGAUCUAGCCAUGGGCAGGUUGAAGGUUGGGUAACACUAACUGGAGGACCGAACCGACUAAUGUUGAAAAAUUAGCGGAUGACUUGUGGCUGGGGGUGAAAGGCCAAUCAAACCGGGAGAUAGCUGGUUCUCCCCGAAAGCUAUUUAGGUAGCGCCUCGUGAAUUCAUCUCCGGGGGUAGAGCACUGUUUCGGCAAGGGGGUCAUCCCGACUUACCAACCCGAUGCAAACUGCGAAUACCGGAGAAUGUUAUCACGGGAGACACACGGCGGGUGCUAACGUCCGUCGUGAAGAGGGAAACAACCCAGACCGCCAGCUAAGGUCCCAAAGUCAUGGUUAAGUGGGAAACGAUGUGGGAAGGCCCAGACAGCCAGGAUGUUGGCUUAGAAGCAGCCAUCAUUUAAAGAAAGCGUAAUAGCUCACUGGUCGAGUCGGCCUGCGCGGAAGAUGUAACGGGGCUAAACCAUGCACCGAAGCUGCGGCAGCGACGCUUAUGCGUUGUUGGGUAGGGGAGCGUUCUGUAAGCCUGUGAAGGUGUGCUGUGAGGCAUGCUGGAGGUAUCAGAAGUGCGAAUGCUGACAUAAGUAACGAUAAAGCGGGUGAAAAGCCCGCUCGCCGGAAGACCAAGGGUUCCUGUCCAACGUUAAUCGGGGCAGGGUGAGUCGACCCCUAAGGCGAGGCCGAAAGGCGUAGUCGAUGGGAAACAGGUUAAUAUUCCUGUACUUGGUGUUACUGCGAAGGGGGGACGGAGAAGGCUAUGUUGGCCGGGCGACGGUUGUCCCGGUUUAAGCGUGUAGGCUGGUUUUCCAGGCAAAUCCGGAAAAUCAAGGCUGAGGCGUGAUGACGAGGCACUACGGUGCUGAAGCAACAAAUGCCCUGCUUCCAGGAAAAGCCUCUAAGCAUCAGGUAACAUCAAAUCGUACCCCAAACCGACACAGGUGGUCAGGUAGAGAAUACCAAGGCGCUUGAGAGAACUCGGGUGAAGGAACUAGGCAAAAUGGUGCCGUAACUUCGGGAGAAGGCACGCUGAUAUGUAGGUGAAGUCCCUCGCGGAUGGAGCUGAAAUCAGUCGAAGAUACCAGCUGGCUGCAACUGUUUAUUAAAAACACAGCACUGUGCAAACACGAAAGUGGACGUAUACGGUGUGACGCCUGCCCGGUGCCGGAAGGUUAAUUGAUGGGGUCAGCGCAAGCGAAGCUCUUGAUCGAAGCCCCGGUAAACGGCGGCCGUAACUAUAACGGUCCUAAGGUAGCGAAAUUCCUUGUCGGGUAAGUUCCGACCUGCACGAAUGGCGUAAUGAUGGCCAGGCUGUCUCCACCCGAGACUCAGUGAAAUUGAACUCGCUGUGAAGAUGCAGUGUACCCGCGGCAAGACGGAAAGACCCCGUGAACCUUUACUAUAGCUUGACACUGAACAUUGAGCCUUGAUGUGUAGGAUAGGUGGGAGGCUUAGAAGUGUGGACGCCAGUCUGCAUGGAGCCGACCUUGAAAUACCACCCUUUAAUGUUUGAUGUUCUAACGUUGACCCGUAAUCCGGGUUGCGGACAGUGUCUGGUGGGUAGUUUGACUGGGGCGGUCUCCUCCUAAAGAGUAACGGAGGAGCACGAAGGUUGGCUAAUCCUGGUCGGACAUCAGGAGGUUAGUGCAAUGGCAUAAGCCAGCUUGACUGCGAGCGUGACGGCGCGAGCAGGUGCGAAAGCAGGUCAUAGUGAUCCGGUGGUUCUGAAUGGAAGGGCCAUCGCUCAACGGAUAAAAGGUACUCCGGGGAUAACAGGCUGAUACCGCCCAAGAGUUCAUAUCGACGGCGGUGUUUGGCACCUCGAUGUCGGCUCAUCACAUCCUGGGGCUGAAGUAGGUCCCAAGGGUAUGGCUGUUCGCCAUUUAAAGUGGUACGCGAGCUGGGUUUAGAACGUCGUGAGACAGUUCGGUCCCUAUCUGCCGUGGGCGCUGGAGAACUGAGGGGGGCUGCUCCUAGUACGAGAGGACCGGAGUGGACGCAUCACUGGUGUUCGGGUUGUCAUGCCAAUGGCACUGCCCGGUAGCUAAAUGCGGAAGAGAUAAGUGCUGAAAGCAUCUAAGCACGAAACUUGCC